GACGAACGCUGGCGGCGUGCCUAAUACAUGCAAGUCGAGCGGACCGACGGGAGCUUGCUCCCUUAGGUCAGCGGCGGACGGGUGAGUAACACGUGGGUAACCUGCCUGUAAGACUGGGAUAACUCCGGGAAACCGGGGCUAAUACCGGAUGCUUGAUUGAACCGCAUGGUUCCAAUCAUAAAAAGGUGGCUUUUAGCUACCACUUACAGAUGGACCCGCGGCGCAUUAGCUAGUUGGUGAGGUAACGGCUCACCAAGGCGACGAUGCGUAGCCGACCUGAGAGGGUGAUCGGCCACACUGGGACUGAGACACGGCCCAG
rnacentral:rRNA from 1 species